rnacentral:rRNA from 1 species
UACGAAGGGGGCUAGCGUUGUUCGGAAUUACUGGGCGUAAAGCGCGCGCAGGCGGUCUUCCAAGUCAGUGGUGAAAGCCCGGAGCUCAACUCCGGAACUGCCAUUGAAACUGUUGGACUUGAGUACGAGAGAGGUGAGUGGAAUUCCCAGUGUAGAGGUGAAAUUCGUAGAUAUUGGGAAGAACACCGGUGGCGAAGGCGGCCUGCUGGGCAGUAGCUGACGCUGAUGCGCGACAGCGUGGGGAGCAAACAGG